AUUGAACGCUGGCGGCAGGCCUAACACAUGCAAGUCGAGCGGAUGAAGGGAGCUUGCUCCUGGAUUCAGCGGCGGACGGGUGAGUAAUGCCUAGGAAUCUGCCUGGUAGUGGGGGAUAACGUCCGGAAACGGGCGCUAAUACCGCAUACGUCCUGAGGGAGAAAGUGGGGGAUCUUCGGACCUCACGCUAUCAGAUGAGCCUAGGUCGGAUUAGCUAGUUGGUGGGGUAAAGGCCUACCAAGGCGACGAUCCGUAACUGGUCUGAGAGGAUGAUCAGUCACAAUGGAACUGAGACACGGUCCAGACUCCUACGGGAGGCAGCAGUGGGGAAUAUUGGACAAUGGGCGAAAGCCUGAUCCAGCCAUGCCGCGUGUGUGAAGAAGGUCUUCGGAUUGUAAAGCACUUUAAGUUGGGAGGAAGGGCAGUAAGUUAAUACCUUGCUGUUUUGACGUUACCAACAGAAGAAGCACCGGCUAACUUCGU
rnacentral:rRNA from 1 species